rnacentral:rRNA from 1 species
UACGGAGGGUGCAAGCGUUAAUCGGAAUUACUGGGCGUAAAGCGUGCGCAGGCGGUUUGUUAAGUCCGCUGUGAAAUCCCCGAGCUCAACUUGGGAAUUGCAGUGGAUACUGGCAAGCUGGAGUAUGGUAGAGGAAGGUGGAAUUCCCGGUGUAGCAGUGAAAUGCGUAGAGAUCGGGAGGAACACCAAUGGCGAAGGCGGCCUUCUGGACCAAUACUGACGCUCAUGCACGAAAGCGUGGGGAGCAAACAGG